CAAAGUAUGACAUGCAGUAUGUAGUGAAAGUGCUAUAGCGAAAAAUAAACCAAGGGAGGGAUGGUGUAAGAUGUACAAGGUUUGUGAGGUGAAGACAUUGCAGGUAGAGGAAACAUCAGGUGCAAAUAUCCUAAAAACCAGCAAGAAGAGCAGUGUUUGAAACAGAGAAAUACAGAAAGUGGAGGACAUAAUGUCAGAAAGGCAGUGAAACACACUUGUGUUGACAAUCAAACAAAAAGAUUAUCUCGUGAGCAUUUAAAACCAGUCUUGUCUUCAUGGAGAUUUGAGUUGGCCAGAUCCUCUCAAGAUGAAAGAUGAAAGGUGUGCCUGAUUUCAAAAAUUAAAGAACUAUGCCUGAAAGCGGU
rnacentral:lncRNA from 1 species